CCUAGAGAUCAGCUUCAGCCUGGUCCCAAGGGGAGUUCUGGCCCACCAUUGCACUGCAGUGUUGGGGGCCCUCUGGGGCAAGGGGAUGACCAAUCGCCCUGGUUUGCCUUGGAUCGAGGAGUUUCCAGACACAUGGGACGUUCAGCAUUAAAAGUGGGAAAGAAUCUUACAUGACUUCUCCUUCCCCCUAACCCUCAUUUCUAGCAAGUCUCCAGCCUGGUUCAACCUCAGAGGUUUUUUUCUGGCCACUCCUUCCUCUCUGUCCCACCCACUGCCUCAGUGGCUCAACACCUGGACAUUCUGCUGCACCCCUUCUUUCCAGACUUAAGUCCUGGAGAAUUCCCCAGCCACAGUCUUUCCCAAAGGAACUCAUCUUUCUGUCUGCCACCAGAUCGAUUCUCCUAAAAGAGGGAUUCCAGAGGCCCACCAAAGUCUCCAAGAAAAUCAGAAGUUCAAUGGUAAAAUCAGUUUGGGAAAUGCCACUCAUAUCUCUUUCUUGGAGCAUCACUUUUGCAAAUUAAAGGCUCUGAUAAGUCUUGGAGUAAAGGUACUAGUUUCACUUUAUUUAACCCAGAUUCUUUCAACUGAGUAAUAUAACCAAAACCCCUAUGAGAUAAGCGCUAUUAUGAGGUUUCUAGUUUACAGAUGAUGGGACCAAGACCAUACAAGGUUAGAUAACUCACAAAGGUCACCCAGUACUGAAUGCCAGAGCUGAAGUUCAGACCAGACUGACUCCAAAGCGAAAUGCUUCUGGUAUCCUACAGCACUACAAAUUGGGAAACAAUCUCUUGAAGUUUCUGCUAUCCCAGGCUUCUAAUCAAAGAUUUCCACCAAGUCUCCCUACAUACAAUUUAUAUGCUUAACUUAGAGAGCCUUGCUACUCAAAGGGCCCCCUUGCUACCGGGGCCAGCAGCAGUGGUCUCCUCUGGCAGCUCGUCAGAUGCAGAGUUGCAGCACCCUGACCCCAACUACCACCAGCUCUACUGAGUCAGAUUCCACACCUAACGCAGAAUCCCAUUUGCAGAGCACCACCCUGAAGAGGUGCAAGUCUUCAGAGCAUAAGGUAAUCUGAACUUACUAUUCUUCCACAAACUAUGUUUCCUGGACUCACCAAUCAGCUGGAUGGUACAACUGGGUGGUAUCAGUCAGCAAAUGGUAUCUCUCUGACUUAGCCCCCACCACUCUUACUUACUCCUCAAAGUCCUCCCAGAUAGUUCUGGGACUUCCCUGCGGGUGUCUCACAUGUGCCCUAAAGUCUACUAGCCACUAUUUUCCUCCCUUCUCAUUCUGUCACCAUCUUUAUUCUUUGCCGACACCAAGCUGGCAACCAUGCCACCAGGGGCUGCCAGCAACAGUGUCCGUCCUGAUGCAUCUGACGUUGGGCCAGGCUGACCGAUGCAGUGGUGCAGGGCAUGGAGGGGCUGCCCCACCGAGGCCAGUACUAGCCCCUCAGCUUCUUGUGGACACAGACCAUGAACUGUUCUUCCACACGGCACAGCACAGAGCAGAGCCUUCACGCUCAAGGCAGAGGAAGAGGCAGGGCAGAGUGGGACAUCCAAUGACUGGGACUGAAGGAUCCAUGGUACAAGAUGAUUCCUUACGGGGAUACCUCAAAAAUGCGCAUUUCUAAAUGCCUUGAUUGACAAGAGUAUCCUGCACCCGACUCUGCAGAGAAAGGCGUGGCUGUAGUCUGAUGUGGGACACAGGCAUACGCUCCUUUUGGAAGCAAGAUGUGUCCCUGUGGGGAGGACACAGAGAAAGAGAAGGAAAGAAAUCUCAUGGCCCAACUCAAGACAAGGGCUCAAAGAGGCAUGUAUGACUCCUGGAAGAUUUAGAACUGAAAUGACCCAAAUUAAGGAGCUAAGUAACAGACGCCUCCAGGCUGAAGAAGGGGACCUAGAGGGGAAAGGCUGGCACAGGAGAAAGACAGUGACAGAGGAGCCGAUGCCAAGGAAGCUGGCCAGCGAUGGCAUGAAAUUCCAGAAGAUGGGCCGUGAUGGCAUCUGUCCCCCUUGCUGUCAGAGCAAGGAAGGUGGCCAGGACAGAGAGGGAACUCCAAGGCACCCCACUCCUUACUUCCACAAAGAGGAAGGCGGGUAAGACACAAGACGAUGAAAGAGAUGUCCGCUGUGUUCGUUCGAGUCCAAAAACAGGACACAGGACAAAGGCUAGAGUUGUCCUGGGCAGCCGCUCGGCCUCACCCACCCACCCACCUGAGCGAUCACAGGGCCCAGCUGGGGUUUGUAUACCGUCACCCGCUUUUUAUCCACCUCCACCACUGCCCUCCUUAUCCAGGUACCUCUCACCCUCUGCAAUUAAAGAGCCUCCUGUCUGGUCCCCUAA